UGUUUGCAUUGCAAGUGACAUCUGGCUGACAGGAAGCUGGAGAAAUGGGAUAUGAAGUGAAUGCUGCAGUUACCACAGUAUCAUAUUUAUCAAAAGGCUUAAGGAGCCCAUGUCUUCGCCACCUUAGUCAUCUUCCCAGCCUUUGGAUGAAGCAUCUGAAUCCCCAACAUUACUUCUGGAGCCAUUUAAAAAACAGACUUCCUAAAAGCCACUGCUGGAUGAUGGUGACUGAUGCUGAAAGUUGUUCUCAAAUGGGAGAUAAUCAGAUCCGAAGAGUAUUUACAGCCCAGCCCAUGAAAAACCAAUCUGCUCCUAUCAGAAACCACGGAGAAUGUUUCCAAUUGAGACUGACUUUGCAGAAGUCGCCUUGGC
rnacentral:lncRNA from 1 species